AUGGGCUGCCAAAUACUGAGUAUAAACUGCCAAGGUGUGAGCAUUUCAAGUGAUUGCAUUUUUGGUUACCAUGAUACUAUAAAGUGGAAACCAUCAUGGAAAGGAGAACAAAGGAGAACGUGCUACUGGGAUAUACUUGGCUUUAUUUUCUGGAUGCUGCGUAAUCUUUGGCAAAAGGUAGUAGAUGAUUUAUGGUUCAUAAAGGAUGUAUAAUAAACCAGGCGUCCCUCUCCCCUGUGUAAGACCAUUCAGCCUUGCACUGAGAAUAAAGUCUCAGUUUGUCAUACCCCACCAGUCACUACUUUGCCCCACCUUGUGGGCACCUUGUGUUCCCUGAACUGAGGUCAUUCCCUCCAAAUAUCCAAGCCCAGCUUGGGUCUGUCUUGGGUGUUUUGCAAAUGCUCUUUGUCUCCUUCCCACCUGCCUCCCUUUGCAAGACUAAUUCCUCUCCUUGAGGUCUCAACUUUCCUUCAUCUCAGAGACGUCGCCGUGUAAAGUGGUGGUCAGCACCCUUGUUCAAAACAUUUACCAUCAUCAUUUGCAGCUUAUUUAAUAUGUUUGCAAAACUUUUGACAAAGAUUAUUUUAAUACAUAUAAAGCCCAUCCACUUCUUAUAACACCCUGUGAAGGAUAAUAGGAAUUCAUAUUCCCAUUUUUACAGACGAAGAAACAGACCCACAGAGGUAAAGUCAUUUUCCAGGGACACGCAAAUAGGAAGUGGCUGAGCCCAGUUCAAACUCAGAUGGUUUGGUGUCUGAAGAUCAUCCUCUUAAAUAACCACUAUGCUAACUUGUCUCUCAGUGUGGUGUGACCCUCCAUCAAACACUGUAACCAUUGUCUCCCUCCAACUCCCACAACUUUACUAACAUGUUUUUUUUUUUUUUAAUUGCGUUGUGAAUAUUGUAGAGCUGUAAAACCCUUAAGGUUUUUUUUUUUUAAAUUUUCAUAAGGUUUAAAAAUUUAUUUUAUUACUGUUUUCUUCCACCUGUAUUUGCUUAGGUCUUUUGUGGCUAGAUAGUUGCUGGCCUUCAUCUCCCACCUGCAUAUAUUGAACCAGCCCUAUUGUCCUUCUCUCACACCUGGUUCCUGUCGAAGCCUCCUAACUGAUCUGGUUCUACUGACCUCUCACUUUACUCUGUCAUGUCAAAC
rnacentral:lncRNA from 1 species